rnacentral:rRNA from 1 species
UGGGGAAUAUUGCACAAUGGGGGAAACCCUGAUGCAGCGACGCCGCGUGAGCGAAGAAGGUUUUCGAAUCGUAAAGCUCUUUCCUAUGAGAAGAUAAUGACGGUAUCAUAGGAGGAAGCCCCGGCUAAAUACGUGCCAGCAGCCGCGGUAAUACGUAUGGGGCGAGCGUUGUCCGGAAUUAUUGGGCGUAAAGGGUACGUAGGCGGUCUAUUAAGUCAGGUGUGAAAGCGUGGGGCUUAACCUCAUUAAGCACUUGAAACUGAUAGACUUGAGUGAAGGAGAGGAAAGUGGAAUUCCUAGUGGAGCGGUGGAAUGCGUAGAUAUUAGGAGGAAUACCGGUGGCGAAGGCGACGUUCUGGACUUUUACUGACGCUCAGGUACGAAAGCGUGGGGAGCAAACAGG